CACAUUUAUGACGUCUGGCGUAGGCUAUCAAAAAAGGGCUCUACAAAAGUUUAAGAUGAUCCAUAUUACGCACAGAACAACUAACACCAGGUGUAACCACACGGAUUUCAAACCUGCUCAAUGAAGAGACAUCCACAAGGGUGCUGGGAGGAGAGCAGUGGAUGGGCACAAUGAAGCUAGAUAAAGGAAGGAGACAAAUCAAUGAUCAGACAUUUUUAAGUGCUAGGUGCAAUAUGGAGCAGUGGCAGGACGACGAUGCCGUGGGUGAGUGUUGGGCGUAUUGGGGUGGUUGACUGCUGCUGCUCAUUCCCUCUGACCUCCUCCAGGCCGUCUGUCGGCGGCGGCGCAGGUCCGGCGGGGAUGAUGGAAGACGCCACCUGCUCGGAGCUCGGCCCUCUGCCCGCUGCCCAGUUUUAUUUCCUCCGGCGGCAGAUUUACGAGACAGAUGAGGAGCGGCGAGAGGGCUUGCUGGCCAAGCGAGCAUGUCGCCUGGCCUCACCCUGCACUUUUUUUUUGCCGGCGCGGCCAGGCGAAGAACAUAAUUUACGCCGGGCACACAGCACUGGCAUAUUUCUCCGCCUGUCUGGCUGAUGGAGAUUUAGAAAAGCUGUCAGUCGGAGAUGUUUAUGCAGUAAUUGCGCAGAAGAGCUUUUUGGAGUCUGUAACACAGCAGAAAAAAAUGUUUUUCGUUUUUAUAGACCGAUUUCUUGAAGUGGAACCAGUAGGGUUCUACAGUGCUGUAGAAUAUGGCAAACGCAUGUCUACCAUUCAUCCAUGCAAAGGAAGCCCUACAAUCCACUGCUGGCUUUGGGCCCAAACUAUAGGCAUAAAAUAUGAGGGGAUGGGGGGGUUGUAACCCUCAAUAAUAUAAACCGGCCAAUGCAAUCCCUCCCAAUAAUCAUAUCAUCAUGAUGAAUGAAACUGAAGUAAGUAGGGGGCUCAACCCCCCCCAAUGUUCAACUGAAAGUUACGCCCCUGGGAGGGGGGAGUGCUCCUGAGUAAUGGCGGUUUUGCAUGGUUCAGUAUGGCCUCUAGAUAGCCUUGGACUCAUGUGAAAGGAUGUGGGCCAACACAGAACUGAUACUAAAACACAAUUAGUAAGACUGCAGAUUAUGACAUUAUUAAUUUUGCGGGAUGUUAAAUCUUCUAUGAAAUAGGAUUACUAACAGUGGCCUUAGCUUUGUACACUUGCAAGUCUUUGGUGGGAUGAAUGCAAUACUGUUAACAACCACUCCGCCAAAAAGCUUCACUUGAAACAUUGUUUUUGUUCAGUUGAACAUUCUUUUUACCUUUUUGGAACCAUUUUAGCUAUCUGUUUUUCAUUAGACCACUAAUUCACUUGCACAUUAGUUCAGUUUAAAUCAAUGUCAUUUUAGGAUAUUCAAUAAAUAAAAAAAAACAAAAAAUAAUUAAGCACAAAAUAGCAGAUGUGAUUAAUAGCGAACCAGAUGCACGGCACGCCCACACAAUCUGAGUCAUCUGGAACUGGUCAUGUAGUGGGACAUUGAGGUUAAUGCAGGGUUAAUCACUCUGUUCCAUUUUUUUAAAUCAGAGAAUCACAAAAGAAUAACCAAUCACAUUUUGAAAACAACAGGCAUUUCAACAUCAGGCCACAACACAGAUGUGGGCCUAUGCAUAUUUAUGACCAAAUGUAUUUUAUAUUUUAUUGCAAAGGGACAAUGAGCGAGCGCGUUAAUGCCCUGGCACAACAUCAAAUGCUUCAAAAUAAUAGGAUUAUUUCUAGUCAAAUAAGGGGAAAUGUAUGUAACAAGGCAUUACAAAAUCUAUUUGAAACUGCAAUUUUGAUCUAAAUUAAACAUUGUGAAAUGUCUUCAGAUAAGUAAAUUGUUAUGAGUUUGAGUUUGAGUUUCUCUCCCUUGAAAAUUCAUGUUAAUUGCUAUAUCAAAGACAUUCUUCGUAGGAAAGUCAUUAUUUUCUAAUGAAACAUCAAACAGGGAAGAAAACAGCAGAAACGAAAUGGAUUUGGAAGCGUGAAAAGCACACUUGUGUUAUUUUCAGAAGAGCUUCAUAAAUGGAGGGAUUUUAUUAUGAUUAUAAAGAGCGCAUCGCUCUUGUUUAAUUAGAGCCAGAUAAAACAUAAAAAUUAUUCAGCAAUGCUAAUCCAAGGGGUUUCUCUCAUCUACAUUACAGUAUAAUUUCGGGCUUUGUGAAUAUUUUACCAUCACAUUUAAUUAUCUUUGGCACGUAAUAUCCUCUCUCCACGGAUUCAGCCUCUUAAGCUUUCUCCUCCCUUUAAGUUGGCACCCGAAAGUUCACUCUUCCCCCUGCACUCACUCAGAGUUCAUCAUCUCUCCUGCCUCAAGGUCAGACGAAAACAAUGAGAGGUGAAGCAUACAAAAGCAGAUAGCAAGCUACAUUAAAAUCAUUGUUCUAACAUCAACUGCAGAUUUGUUUCGUUGCAGCAGACUGUAAAGGAAAGAUGCGUAAUAAAGACAUAAACUCCCUUCUGUGCUGCUUCAUCUGCUAUUACUACCUCCACAUGCAUGACUCUUA